rnacentral:ribozyme from 1 species
CGCAGAGUGUGGCCCCUGUAAUGGGGCUUAAUGCGGCCAGUGGCGGUCACAAGCCCGC